GAUUUUGAAAAACCGGGCAGCAUUCUUGAGAGACAAAGAACAGGAUUUAGGGAAUAUUUUACAUCACCGUAUGCGGCUGUUUGCAAAGACUAAAUAUUACAUGUUAUGAGAGGAAUUGGACAUAAUGAAGUUUGCUACACACCAUCUUUGAGGGAUUUACCGGGGUAUUAAUUUUAAAGGAAUAAAACAAAGAAGUCCAAGUGCCAAACA